rnacentral:ncRNA from 1 species
AUAUUCCGACAGGGGAGCGCCACAGCGCUGAGAGUGCGACACCAUGUUCCGGCUCAACGGGACGUGCUGGUCGCAGACCCUCUGAACCUCGCCCGGGUCAUUCCGGGUAGGAAGUUCGGUCGUUACUCAUG